GGGCUGUGCAGCAUUGAUAGGGCAGAGGGAAGGAGGUGCAUGUAGGCCACGUGUCACACGUUCAGCACAGAGCGUUUGGUGAAGCAUGCAGGCUGUGCUGUGUGAUGCUGUCAGCAGGACCUGGGGACAACGCUGGGCUGCCCUACCAGGCUGUGCUGGGUCUCAGUGCAGUGAUCCACCACGUGCUCUCAUUUCCCUAUGCCAGACCCCUUCUGACAUACUUUUCAAAGGAGCUGCAGACAGCCAGAUGGGAGGCGGCCAGGGCUGCGCCUGGAUAUCAGGAGGUUUCUUCAUUGUGUGCAUCCGGUGUGUCUGGAAAGAUGAAGGACCUUCAUUUUCUGCUCAUUCCAAAUAGUCAAUUCAAACUGUCAUCACCACCUGCACCACUUCAUCUUAUACUAGUUAAAGUUUGUGUUGUUCACACUCCUGGAGAAUCUGUUGCUGGGGAAUCUGAAAACACAUGGCAGGAGGUGCCUCCUAAUGAUGAAAGGA